ACAGGAACACACACGCUCAACGGCUAGAAGAGUCUUUACCUACAGCGAAGCCGAAAAGGAAGACUAAGUAGACCAGCAGGAAUCGGAGCAGGUCGCGAAGAAUGACCUGGAACACACAAGCCCAAGGAGAAGGAAGACUGGCUAGCUUCAGGGGUGUGAGGCCUUCGUGGUUGCAGAUAUCCUCCAGCUGCAUAGUGGGGCAGAGGCGGACCCCCACUUGGAGAAGCCCGUCAUACAUGUGAAUCACCAGCGCGCUGUUCUCAGGCGAGUUAUCUGCAAUCAUGACCAGCGCGUGCAGGACCGUGUUGCCUAGGGAAUCAGUGGCCUCCAGGCUGGCAGGCUGGUGUGGGUUCUCCAGGAGCAGCAACAACUGUCUCCCUGGCUGCUACCUUACCUCCUGGAAUCCCCAUUUUGGCAGCAGAGGAGGAGGCCUGGGGGCUCCAGGGAGCCAGAUCCCACGCAGACCCUUACUCAAGCAUGGAGAUGCACGGAGAGCCACCCGAUCACUGUUAGACUUCCAGACGCAGCCUCUAGGAUAUCCCGAAAUUGCCAAUCAACUUACCACGCAGGCUGAAGCUGAGGCGUAGAGGCAGCAGACUGAAGGCCACUAGGAUCACCGAGCCUAGCGGGGCUCUCCAGCAGCGGCAGCGGGGACUGAGAGAGGAAGUGCAGCCGCGAGGGGCGCGGCCCGGCUCUGACAGCUGUGGGUUGCGGGAACCUCCGCAGCCCGCUCCGAGCUCUCUCUGUGUUGUCCACCCUCAACCUGUUCGUUGCGCACAGUGGACAGUGGGGAUUUAGCGCCGACCGGUCAAGGACCAGUGACUGGCCAUCAGGCUUAUCAUCUGGACCACUGGCCACACCCUGCGCUGGGGAGACACGCCCUGCCCCUUCGUCGGUGCACUUCCACCCCGACUCAUGGCCAAAGAAGCCCCCUGGGGCUAUCAGAGGCAGUCCUAGGGCGCUGGGACCUUGGCUUGGGUGGGAGCUGGUAUGGGUGUGGGAUUCGUGCCCCGAGACACUGACUCCCACCCUCCCGGUUCUUACCAUCAUGUGCCCCCCAGAAGUCAUGUGGUUCGUAACUGGCUGACCCAUAAACGAGGGAGAGAAGAGUGUGAUAGCCCCAGGGAGAGAAGAGGUUCAGUCUAACUUUUGUCCCAAAGAAUGCAGCCCCACCCAUCCAGCCAUAUUUCCAUCUAGGGAGAGAUUUCCUCAGCGUCCUGACCCCAGGGAUCUUCAAGGCACCAGUUAUAAGGGCACUUCCAGAAGCAGCCAGCAGGUGGGGACAGGGAGGCCAACAGGAGUGGUUGAAAUUGUCAGCCUUGGUCCUGCCGUAGAGAACUGGGACUAGCUUGUCCUCCCCCCUGCCCCCAACUUUCACUUACUCCCCCUCCCCACGUCCCCGCUUUUCUCUAAGACCUCUGUCUUUGUUCCAUGUCCUGACUUUUGUCUGAGUGGUCCAAACCAUCAAUUUCUCUCACCUGGGAAAGUUCCGCCAUUUCCAAAUUUGUCUCUCACCCCUCAUCUCAUGUCAACUAAAGUGGCCUCUAAAAAUGUAAACCAAGGGCCAGCUUUAGUUUAGUGGUGGAGCACGUAGUGGCGUGUGUAAGGCCCUGGGUCUGACCUCCAGUAUCAACAAGUAAAGAAAAACUAAAUAACAACAAAUAAAUUAAUAAGUAAAUGCCAA